CGAAACAUUAAAAACUCGAAAUAAGAAGAUCAUGACAAUUUUACGUCUCUAACCCAAUCUUUCUAUAAUUUGUUCAUCUCUUAUCUCGUAAUGCCAAAAUUAAAAUAUUCUUGAACACAUACUAUAUUUGAGUUAAACACCAAUUUAAGCGUCGUAAACCCCUCAAUUAUUUUGUCUUGCAAGCAAUUAAUUAUCUAUCGGGAGAUUCUAUGAUGCUGAUCGUGAUUGUCAGCAUCCCAUGUUUUCAUGUGGUGUCAGGUUAAGAGAGUGACACGUACAAGCUGAGGUUAAAUAGGGGGUAAUGGAUUCGUGUUAUGGUUUCGUUGCUUCCGUUUUGAUUGUUUGAUGGAGAAUGAUUAAAUAACAGUUAAUCACAAAUUAUGGAUUGUUGGAUAAUGGACUGAAAGUUAGUGGCCCAUGUGAAGUUGGCCAAGGGUAAUGAAAAAUAAAAAAUAGGCC